UUGUGAGAUUUAGGUUAAAUUCUUGCUUUGAAGAGUUUAAGUGUAUUUCAGGUCAAAGAGUAAAGGAGAGUUGUCAAUGUACUAUACAAAUUUUCACAUAGUUAGUCCUUCAGAACGUCAAAGUUAAACACACAUAUUAGACUUUUUACCCUACUCAAUACAAUUUAAGUCAUGUAUAGGAAUAAUUGAAUAACUAAGAGCUAUAAAAGAACCCC
rnacentral:lncRNA from 1 species